rnacentral:rRNA from 1 species
AGUCGAGGGGUAUAGGUUUUCGGACCUAGAGACCGGCGCACGGGUGCGUAAUUCGGAUGCAAUCUACCUUUCACAGAGGGAUAGCCCAGAGAAAUUUGGAUUAAUACCUCAUAGUAUAACGACUCGGCAUCGAGAUGUUAUUAAAGUCACAACGGUGAAAGAUGAGCAUGCGUCCCAUUAGCUUGCUGGUAAGGUAACGGCUUACCAAGGCUACGAUGGGUAGGGGUCCUGAGAGGGAGAUCCCCCACACUGGUACUGAGACACGGACCAGACUCCUACGGGAGGCAGCAGUGAGGAAUAUUGGUCAAUGGACGCAAGUCUGAACCAGCCAUGCCGCGUGCAGGAUGACGGUCCUAUGGAUUGUAAACUGCUUUUGUACAGGGAGAAACAGUUCUACGUGUAGAACCUUGACGGUACUGUAAGAAUAAGGAUCGGCUAACUCCGUGCCAGCAGCCGCGGUAAUACGGAGGAUCCAAGCGUUAUCCGGAAUCAUUGGGUUUAAAGGGUCCGUAGGCGGUUUAGUAAGUCAGUGGUGAAAGCCCAUCGCUCAACGGUGGAACGGCCAUUGAUACUGCUA